AUGCAACUAGGCCGGUGUUCAAUGCCAAGACCACCGUGUCGUCGAGCUUCUUCUCCCCGACAUCGCUCUCUCCGAUCAAAUACCUACCGACAUAUUCUCCAAUCUAACUCACCUCCGUACUCUCAGUCUUCGACGGUCUUGCUCUCGCUGCUAAGAUUUUUUCGUUACUCUCUCGAUGUUGUUACUAUUUGUGACUGGUUCAUCGAUUCAGCUUAA